UACGUAGGGACCGAGCGUUGUCCGGAAUUAUUGGGCGUAAAGAGCGCGUAGGCGGCUUUCUAAGUCGGGGGGUGAAAUCCUGGAGCUCAACUCCAGAACUGCCUUCGAUACUGGAGAGCUCGAGUCCGGGGAGAGGUGAGUGGAACUGCGAGUGUAGAGGUGAAAUUCGUAGAUAUUCGCAAGAACACCAGUGGCGAAGGCGGCUCACUGGCCCGGUACUGACGCUGAGGUGCGAAAGCGUGGGGAGCAAACAGG
rnacentral:rRNA from 1 species